CCUACGGGAGGCAGCAGUGAGGAAUAUUGGUCAAUGGGCGCGAGCCUGAACCAGCCAAGUAGCGUGAAGGAUGACUGCCCUACGGGUUGUAAACUUCUUUUAUAAAGGAAUAAAGUGCUGCCCGUGUGCCUUUUUGUAUGUACUUUAUGAAUAAGGAUCGGCUAACUCCGUGCCAGCAGCCGCGGUAAUACGGAGGAUCCGAGCGUUAUCCGGAUUUAUUGGGUUUAAAGGGAGCGUAGAUGGGUUUUUAAGUCAGUUGUGAAAGUUUGCGGCUCAACCGUAAAAUUGCAAUUGAUACUGGCAGGCUUGAGUACAGUUGAGGUAGGCGGAAUUCGUGGUGUAGCGGUGAAAUGCUUAGAUAUCACGAAGAACCCCGAUUGCGAAGGCAGCUUACUAAGCUGUGACUGACAUUGAUGCUCGAAAGUGUGGGUAUCAAACAGGAUUAGAUACCCUUGUAGUC
rnacentral:rRNA from 1 species